rnacentral:rRNA from 1 species
ACUCCUACGGGAGGCAGCAGUGGGGAAUAUUGCACAAUGGGCGCAAGCCUGAUGCAGCCAUGCCGCGUGUAUGAAGAAGGCCUUCGGGUUGAUAAAGUACUUUCAGCAGUGAGGAAGGUGGUAUGUUAAUAGCAUAUNUUCAUUGACUGUAGCUGCAGAAGAAGCACCGGCUAACUCCGUGCCAGCAGCCGCGGUAAUACGGAGGGUGCGAGCGUUAAUCGGAAUUACUGGGCGUAAAGCGCAUGCAGGUGGUUUGUUAAGUCAGAUGUGAAAGCCCGGGGCUCAACCUCGGAAUUGCAUUUGAAACUGGCAAACUAGAGUACUGUAGAGGGGGGUAGAAUUUCAGGUGUAGCGGUGAAAUGCGUAGAGAUCUGAAGG